rnacentral:lncRNA from 1 species
AACUUUUGAAAACAAGACAUUUGUACUACAGAGCCAGAGGUGGUUUUAGCUGGGUUGGUAUUGAAAGGGUUAAUUCAAAACAAUGUGAAUAAACAGGCAUUACGUUUGAGAGAGGAAUCUGAAUGCUGAACAGUUAAACAACCACAUGAUCUUUAGUGUUAGGAAGUUGUCCUCUUUUCACUGCUAAGAUGGAUUCCUUUAGCUGCAUGGAGAUGAUUUUUACUUCUAAAGGUGUGGACUGUAAAUAAUGUUGGUUUAUAACAGCAGUAUUUGGAUUAGUCUAUCAGAUGUAAUACUUAUUUAUUCACAUUGUUUUGAAUUAAUCGUGCAUUAUCUCUUAGUAUCAAAAUGUUGAUGCUGUGAUAGUUUAUCUUUAGAAUGACUUUGCUGAGCAUGUGUGAGAGGCCUAAUCUGACUGGAUUGAACAUAAACAAGUUUAAAUACUAAAGGAUUAAAACAACAGUUAUUUUUAUUUCUUCAAGAUUUUCAGAAUUGGAUUUUAGGUUCUUGUCAAUGGCUUGGCUGUCUUGUGAUGCCAACAAACAGCUUUAUUGAUGAGCAACCAAUAAAACUGUAUUGGUUGGUCAGUAAACCAGCAGUGUCUAUUCUAACAUACAAACUCAUCUUAAUUAAUACUUAAAACUGUAAUUUUGAAAGAAUGGUUUAGUUUUAUAAUUUCUCAAAUGUCAUUAACACUGAACCAUCCAACCACCCACCGUUAACCAUCAUAAACUACCUCUUGUUUAUAGUUCAAUUAUUCCUUCUUCUUUCACCUCUACAUACUUCAGUCAACGCUCUUUCCCAAAACUUAUUCUAUGUCUCACUCCCUACUUUUAAAUAUUUCACAUACCCAUGACAUCCCUGUCUUUUUACCAUUUCCUUAUAACUGAAUUGCACUUUUCCAACACAUCCCAAUGGCUAAUAACACACAACUGAAGCCAAACAUAAUCUGUGUUAAUCUCACUUUUCCACCUUAUCGUUAUAAUCCAUUGUCAGAGUAACAAAUGGUGAUGAUUUCUUGGACGCUUACAUGUGGCAUCGUCAAUGAAAUGUAUUUUGUAUCUUACUGGCUUUACCUUUGUGUGUUCCACUUCAAAUUUUUCUCUUUGUACCAAUGAAGAAAAUCAUUAUUAUUCAUAGUAAAGUCAUGUUUAACCAUUUGACGUUCAGAUUAUUUUGUCAAAUGUAACAUUCUUUUCUUCCACGUUGUUUUUAAUAAAUCAUGCAUUAUUUUGUAGCCUUGAAAUUUUGAUAAUGUGAUUGUGUUUUUAGAAUGUCAUUGAAGAGUUGGUGUGAUAGGCUGGAUCUGGCUGGCUUCAAAAUGUAAAACGGGUAGCAUAUUUGAGCCUGACUGGUUUAAAUACUAAAUGGUUAACACAUUCCAGUGUAACUGCAACAUGGUAAGAGCCAUUUUACUACAGGAAUAGUGAGCAGAGAAAAUUCUCCACUGGAUUUGUGUAAAUACAUUGAACUAAGAAACCAACUCAGUCUCAACUGAGCAGGUUUAAGUGACUGAUGAAGUGCAAAGAUGCAGAAAUCCAUGUGUCCUACAAUCAAAUCUGUAUUAUAGCCCAAAAUACAAUGUGUAUUUAUAUACA